GAUGAAGAACGCAGCGAAAUGCGAUAAGUAAUGUGAAUUGCAGAAUCCAGUGAAUCAUCGAAUCUUUGAACGCACAUUGCGCCCGCCAGCAUUCUGGCGGGCAUGCCUGUUCGAGCGUCAUUUCAACCCUCGACCUCCCUUUGGGGAAGUCGGCGUUGGGGACCGGCAGCACACCGCCGGCCCUGAAAUGGAGUGGCGGCCCGUCCGCGGCGACCUCUGCGUAGUAAACCAACUCGCACCGGAACCCCGACGUGGCCACGCCGUAAAACACCCAACUUCUGAACGUUGACCUCGAAUCAGGUAGGACUACCCGCUGAACUUAAGCAUAGCAAUAAGCGGAGGA
rnacentral:misc_RNA from 1 species